rnacentral:rRNA from 1 species
CUUGAACGCUGGCGGCAGGCCUAACACAUGCAAGUAGAACGAGUGGCGGACGGGUGAGUAAUGUCUGGGAAACUGCCCGAAGGAGGGGGAUAACUACUGGAAACGGUAGAUAAUACCGCAUAGCAUCGGAUAUGCCCAGAUGGGAUGAGCUAGUAGUGGGGGUAACGGCACACCUAGGCGACGCUCCCUAGCUGGUCUGAGAGGAUGACCAGCCAAACUGGAACUGAGACACGGUCCAGACUCCUACGGGAGGCAGCAGUGGGGAAUAUUGCACAAUGGGCGCAAGCCUGAUGCAGCCAUGCCGCGUGUAUGAAGAAGGCCUUCGGGUUGUAAAGUACUUUCAGCGAGGAGGCGUUACUCGCAGAAGAAGCACCGGCUAACUCCGUGCCAGCAGCCGCGGUAAUAC